GUAGAGUUGUCUUUUUUUUUUAGUAGAAUUAAAAAUGCCUUCUAUUUCAAGGAUCGCUGGGAGAAAUCUGCAUUCCUUAGGUGGUUUUAGGUGGAAAUCUCAAGCCCCUCCCCAAGAAUCUACCUUUGUUAAAAGUGAUUCUGGGCCGGGGAUUUAGCUCAGCAGCUCUGUUGCCUGCCUCGCAAGCGCAAGGACCCGAGUUCGAUCCCCGGUACAAAAAAAAAAAAGUGAUUUUAUUCAUCUGUGGACCCAAGGCCAUUUUGGCUUCCCUGACAUGCUUCCAAAUUAAAAUCAUAAAUAAUGGCAAAGGAAAAUGAAAUGCUAGAAACUGCUUCUUGCCUCCUUGCCCCUUUUCUAUUCUGAAAAUCUUCUUGAAACAAUUUAAAGUGGCCAAGAACUUAGGCAGGGGGAAUAAGGCCAGAAUUCAAAAAUGAACAGGGCUAUUUAAAGCAUAUUAAAUGCAUGUUUCCUCCUGACAUUUCACUUCUCCCUCUUUUAAUUAUGUGGAGAGAACCGAGUUGGCCAGAGAUUGUGCUUCCCGCAAAGAUAUCUCGGGCAGAGCCACACAGUGCCUGAGCAAAGCAACGAAGAGGCUGUGUGGGUACCCUGCAGCAGCAGUGCGGUUUGAAUAUGGCGACACCAAGACUGCAGGGCAAGGACAGCUGAAGUGAAACCGGAUGGAAGCUUCAGUCUUUCCAGUGACCCAGCCACCUCCCAAGUCAAGAAAGGCCUAAGCAGCACUGAUGCUGUUCUGGGGACCAAAGCUGGAGGUGCUGUUGGGUAGAGCAGGGGAAGAAGAGGCAUGAAUAACAGCACUGAGCUGAGCCAGUCUGUUUGAGAGGUCAGGCUCAGUUCACCCAGGCACAACCUAAGAAAACCGAGCUCACUGCUCUCAGGAGCCCCCUCCCUUGAUCCUAUCAGGCCAUCUGUGGGAGGAGGACACAACCUAAGGGGAAUUCCAGGGACCAGGCAUCUCCAGAAAAACAUGCUGAGGCCCCAGGCAGCCCUACCUUGCCUUCCCCACCAAUUCCAGCAGCCCACUCAUUUAUCUUUUUCAUUAAAAAAGAGAGGCAUUUCUUCCCUGAAGGGCACCCAGUAGAAAGCUGCCUUCCUUCCUUUGUUAUUGAGCAUGCUUUGACAGAAUGUACAAUUUCUUCUGAUCUGUUAUACGUCAACAUCCAAGUAUGUAAGUACGUUCCAGAAGUAUGUUCUCAAGCACCUCCUGUUACCCAGAGAAGCUGUGUAUUAGUAUGAAAUUGAACAUGAUAACCAACCAGUGCUUUUAACCUAGGUGAGAAAAUCAGAGAAAGCAGAAAUCCCAGAACCCCUGGCUGCAGAGUUACAAUUCCACAUGCUGCCCUGUGUGACUGUGGACAAGUGCCCCCAUGCCUCGACAGGCCAAUUUUCUGAGGAUACUGGGCAGUCUCCAGGUUCUCUUACAGCUCCAACUUUCUAUGAUUCUCUAAGACUUGGCAGCAAAGCACACACAGCACAGCAGGGAGCACAGAGUAGACUGUCUGAGAGACUCCCCAGGGCCCACACUGGCAGAAAGAAUAAGGGUGGUGUGCACAGGAAGGGGUAAAGCCUGCUGCAGAACGAGCAUGAGCUUUAAACAACUGAAAUAUCAUUUUUCACCUACCAGACUGGCAAAAAGGAAAAAGGAAACUACCUUGGGGGAAGCUGGCACUCUCAAACAAUGCUGUUGGGAACACAUUUUGAAAUAGCUUUCCAAGAAAGGAAUUCAGCAGUAAGCAUGAAAACCCUGAAACAUGUGCACAUUUUUUGACCCAGCGAUGAACCCUUCCUAGUGAUAUAACUCAGGGAAAUAAUUGGGCAAAAAAAGACAAAGGGAUAUGAAGACAGAUGUUCACUUUUCCAGCAUUGUUGCCAACACUGGGAAACAGUAGAAACUGUGUGUUUAUUAUGUGCAGUAGGUAAAAUGCUAUCUAUAAGGUAAAAUGAUGGAAUGGAUCCUUGUAAAAGUGACAUGGAAAUCUACGUGCCUGUGUCUGUGUGUCUCCCAGAGGGUGGGCAAGAAGGGGAGGAAAAGAACAGGGAAGCCACAGAAAGCAAUAUAUGCAAUGCUGCUAUUCCCCCCCCCCAUUAAGUUUAUUGGUACAUUUUUGGUAUAAAAUACAGUUACAUUUAUG
rnacentral:lncRNA from 1 species